rnacentral:rRNA from 1 species
CCUACGGGUGGCUGCAGUGGGGAAUAUUGCACAAUGGGCGCAAGCCUGAUGCAGCCAUGCCGCGUGUGUGAAGAAGGCCUUCGGGUUGUAAAGCACUUUCAGCGGGGAGGAAGGCGGUGAGGUUAAUAACCUCAUCGAUUGACGUUACCCGCAGAAGAAGCACCGGCUAACUCCGUGCCAGCAGCCGCGGUAAUACGGAGGGUGCAAGCGUUAAUCGGAAUUACUGGGCGUAAAGCGCACGCAGGCGGUCUGUCAAGUCGGAUGUGAAAUCCCCGGGCUCAACCUGGGAACUGCAUUCGAAACUGGCAGGCUAGAGUCGUGUAGAGGGGGGUAGAAUUCCAGGUGUAGCGGUGAAAUGCGUAGAGAUCUGGAGGAAUACCGGUGGCGAAGGCGGCCCCUGGACAAAGACUGACGCUCAGGUGCGAAAGCGUGGGGAGCAAACAGGAUUAGAUACCCUUGUAGUC